rnacentral:rRNA from 1 species
CGUGGGUAACCUGCCCAAGAGAUCGGGAUAACACCUGGAAACAGAUGCUAAUACCGGAUAAUAACAGAUGAUGCCUAUCAACUGUUUAAAAGAUGGUUCUGCUAUCACUCUUGGAUGGACCUGCGGUGCAUUAGCUAGUUGGUAGGGUAACGGCCUACCAAGGCGAUGAUGCAUAGCCGAGUUGAGAGACUGAUCGGUCACAUUGGGACUGAGACACGGCCCAAACUCCUACGGGAGGCAGCAGUC